GAGCCUCCAUUCGUUUCCCACCAAAACAAUCAAAACCCUAAUUUCCCCCUCAUUUUCUCGAGAAACAAACAGAUUCCCGAUCACCCAAUGGCUCGCACGAAGCAGACAGCAAGAAAAUCCACCGGAGGGAAAGCCCCAAGGAAGCAACUGGCGACCAAGGCAGCCAGGAAGUCAGCUCCAGCCACCGGAGGAGUGAAGAAGCCCCACCGGUUCAGGCCAGGAACGGUGGCGUUGAGAGAAAUAAGGAAGUACCAAAAGAGCACAGAGCUGUUGAUAAGGAAGCUACCAUUUCAGAGGCUGGUGAGAGAAAUAGCCCAAGAUUUCAAGACAGACUUGAGGUUCCAAAGCAGCGCGGUAGCAGCACUUCAAGAGGCAGCAGAGGCGUACCUUGUUGGGUUGUUUGAGGACACCAACUUGUGUGCUAUUCAUGCUAAGAGGGUCACUAUCAUGCCUAAGGACAUUCAGCUGGCCCGUAGAAUUAGAGGGGAGAGAGCUUAAACAACUUAGCUACUGAUGUUGAGUUUCAGACUGCCAUGUCUCUGUCUCUGUUAAGAUUUCAGAGUGUCAUGUUAGAUUUGGGGUUCGUUUUCGUUGUAAAUCUUUUCUGGAUUUAAAUGAGAGAUUUAGAUGUUUAUUUUGAAUCCGUUGUGUUCGAUGAUUUGUCUUAGAUUCAAGCAACUUUAGUAGUUAGGAACUCGCGAGGCUUGCAAGGGUAUCAAUAGUUUGAAGCAGGAGAUAUGGCAGCACAAGUGUCAUUUGAAGGCUUUUUAGAGGUUUAAUUGAAAGAGAUUUAUCAUUUAUUAUU